ACGCGGAGCGUGUAACCAUGGAAGAAGCAGGCCAAGAUUCAAUGACCUUUAUUGAGCCACAUGCAAGGUUAGCUGAACAGCAUGAAUUCAAGUUUUACCAAAUUGUAUUUAAAAGUUGAUAUCUUCAUCAUCCUGUACCUGAGCCUGGGGUCUCUGAAGCAUCCUCAUGUACCUCAACUUGAACUAGAUGGACACUGCCCAUUUACUGGGACUAGAGGAGAUGACCACCCAUUUUGAUCUCUGGAUAAAGAAGAGGAAGAAUGUAUUGAAUGAAAGCAAAAACAAGUUCAUUCACUGAACCUGAAGCUCCAUGAUUUUGCUAGAUUUAACUGGGGAGCAAUCACUAACAGAAUUCCGUGUCACUCUGAAUAGCACUCGAACUUCAGGCAUUGGAUUCCAGGCCUUGGACACAGUAGGAAUCUGCUGUAUCAAUGAAGGAUGUGUCCAGUCAUUGGCUUCCUGAGACAUAGUCUGAUUAUGUCAUUCAAACUACCCUACAUCUCAUGGUCUGUUUGCCUGUGACUUCCAAGUAAUAAGAUCACAGGUGUGCUCCUCAUAAGUGUUUUAAAAAGACACAUUUCAAACACUUGAAAAAAAGUUUUCACUGUUGUUAAGCAGAUGAAAAAAAUUGAAAUUAUAGAUCUUGUGAAAUGAUUCAUAAAUGCUUGAAAACUUGUGUUCUCGGAAAGUUUCAAGGCUCUUAAAAUCAUUUAGAAUUUGCAGAAAAAAGAAAAUGCUUUGGCAAUAGUCUUUCAAAAAGAGCAUACACAUACAUGUAAAAUGUCUCAAGGAAAAGAUGUACAGAAAAGAAAUGAAUAAAACAUGUACAACUUAUGACAGACCCAGUGUCUGGUCAGUAGUGUUUGAUAGAACACCUACUUCAAUGCCCAUCAAACAAAGAAAGCUUCCAUCCUGGUUGCUACCAUAUACCAUAUCUGCAUCCUCUGCAUUCAUCAGGAUGUCUGUCAAUGUGCCUCUCUUCCAAACCACCAAUGUGAAAAUAUGAAUUAAUAGAUAAACUUGAACCUCAGGGUUUAUAAUGAGUGGGCACAUACAUGUCAGCAGUGACAGCUCACUGUCUGCAGGCUCACCUCAUGCAGGAUUUAACACUAUUAAAGUUAUUUUUUCAAGAAGUGUGUGAUGCAUAAAAUGUAAAUAAAUCAUAAACAUUU
rnacentral:lncRNA from 1 species